rnacentral:rRNA from 1 species
CAACAAGGCUCCGACCCGUCGGCAACGGCGGGGAAGGGCGCACUUAUUAGGCGAAAACCAACGGCCGUCUCCGGGCGGCCUUGGUGGACGACUCCCGAGUAAUUGCCGCCGAUCGCACGGCCUAGAGCCGGCGACGCCUCUAUUGAGUUUCUGAUCUAUCAUGCUGACGACGGUUGGUGCUAUGCCAACCGCGGCGUUAACGGAUAACAGAGAAUCUGGGUUCGAUUCUGGAGAGGCCGCACGAGAAACGGCGACCACUUCCAAGGAAGGCAGCAGGCCCGCAAAUUACCCACUUCGGACACCGAGAGGUAGUGACGAAUAAUACCGAUGCGGCGCACUUACGUGUCGCCGUAAUCGGAAUGAGUACACUUGAAAUCCUUUAACGAGGAUCCACUGGAGGGCAAGCCUGGUGCCAGCAGCCGCGGUAAUUCCAGCUCCAGCAGCGUAUAUUUAUAUUGCUGCGUUUAAAAAGCUCGUAGUUGAAGCGUCAGACACGGGAGGGCGGACGGCCGCACUGGUCGCUCUCGCCCGACCGGGCCAGGCGCAGAGGGUGUCCGUCGCUUGCACUUCGCCGUGUGAGCGCGGCGCCGCUGCACGUUCACCUUGAAGAAAUUGAACCGCUCAGAGGAGGCGUGCAGCUCGAACAGCUCAGCAUGGUAUGAUGGAACAUGGGCUCGUACACGUUUUGUUGGUUCUAGUGUUGGCGAGCCAAUGAUUAAGAGGGACUGCCGGGGGCAUUAGUACUCGCACGGGAGAGGUGAAAUUCAAGGAUCGUGCGAAGACUUCCUACUGCGAAAGCAUUUGCCAAGAAUGUUUUCAUUAAUCAAGAACGAAAGUCAGAGGUGCGAAGGCGAUCAGAUACCGCCGUAGUUCUGACCGUAAACGAUGCCGACUGGCAAUUGGGCGCACUUCUGACGAAGUUGCCGCCAGCAGUAUUACUCCUGGGAAACCAAAGUCAUUGGGUUCCGGGGGGAGUAUGGUUGCAAAGCUGAAACUUAAAGGAAUUGACGGAAGGGCACCACCAGGAGUGGAGCCUGCGGCUUAAUUUGACUCAACACGGGAAACCUCACCCGGCCCGAACACUGUUAUGACAGACAGGUUGAGAGCUCUUUCUCGAUUCAGUGGUUGGUGGUGCAUGGCCGUUCUUAGUUCGUGGAGCGAUCUGUCUGGUUAAUUCCGAUAACGAACGAGACUCUUGCCUGCUAAAUAGACGGCGCCGACGUGCACGGCGACCGCAUGCUUCUUAGAGGGACAAGCGGCUUUUAGCCGCGUGAAGCGGAGAGCAAUAACAGGUCAGUGAUGCCCUCAGAUGUUCGGGGCCGCACGCGCGCUACACUGUUUGCAUCAGCGUGUCUACCCUCGCCGGCCGGCGUGGGCAACCCGUUGAACCGCAAACGUGCUAGGGCUCGGAGAUUGCAAUUAUUCUCCGUCAACGAGGAAUUCCUUGUACUUGUGAGUCAUCAGCUCGCGGGGAAUCUGUCCCUGCCCUUUGUACACACCGCCCGUCGCUACUACCGAUUGAGUGGUUUAGUGAGGCUCACGGACUGCGAGCGGCACACGGUGUCAUGCCGCGUCGCGAGCGGAAAGUGAGACGAACUUGAUCA